GCACCUGUGCCGGAGUGGUCUAACGGGUGGGUCUCAAGCAAUGAGAUUGGGUUUUCCCAUAGCGAAAGCUGCGUGAGUUCGAAUCUCACCAGGUGUA
rfam:Volvox carteri f. nagariensis unplaced genomic scaffold VOLCAscaffold_67, whole genome shotgun sequence.